GUAGGGAAUAUUGGGCAAUGGUCGGAAGACUGACCCAGCCAUGCCGCGUGCAGGAAGACGGCCCUCUGGGUUGUAAACUGCUUUUAUCUGGGAAGAAAAAGGCCAUGCGUGGCAAAUUGCCGGUACCAGAUGAAUAAGCACCGGCUAACUCCGUGCCAGCAGCCGCGGUAAUACGGAGGGUGCGAGCGUUGUCCGGAUUUAUUGGGUUUAAAGGGUGCGUAGGCGGCUGAUUAAGUCAGCGGUGAAAGACUCCGGCUUAACCGGAGCAGUGCCGUUGAUACUGGUUAGCUUGAGUGUUGGAGGGGUACAUGGAAUUGAUGGUGUAGCGGUGAAAUGCAUAGAUACCAUCAGGAACACCGAUAGCGAAGGCAUUGUACUGGCCAACAACUGACGCUGAUGCACGAAAGUGUGGGGAUCGAACAGGAUUAGAUACCCUUGUAGUCC
rnacentral:rRNA from 1 species